AUCACUGCAGAUUAGCGUCAGGCAAAUGAGGAGUUUGGAAACAUUUAUCAUUGAGCAAAUUGUCUGGGAGUCAUUGAGCAAGUGUCGCCAUGUUGCACAAACACAGAGGAUCUCUGGGCUCUGCUCCUCUCGAGAACAUAAUACAGCAUCUCUUGCAGCAGCAGCAGCAGCAGCGCUGGUUUGAGCAGCGAGACGGCUUCCUCUCUUCCCUCAGCAGAUUCCCUUUCUUCUGAGCAGCAGCACAGCGUGUCUCCGCUGCUCCUGGCUCUCUGCGUCCUGCUCAUCAUGAUCCUGUGGGUGAAGAUGGGAGAGGACUCUCUGGAAGAGCUCGUCAGAC